CUUCGGGUUGUAAACCUCUUUCAGCAGGGAAGAAGCGAAAGUGACGGUACCUGCAGAAGAAGCACCGGCUAACUACGUGCCAGCAGCCGCGGUAAUACGUAGGGUGCGAGCGUUGUCCGGAAUUAUUGGGCGUAAAGAGCUUGUAGGCGGUCUGUCGCGUCUGCCGUGAAAUUUCGGGGCUCAACCCCGAACUUGCGGUGGGUACGGGCAGACUAGAGUGUGGUAGGGGAGACUGGAAUUCCUGGUGUAGCGGUGAAAUGCGCAGAUAUCAGGAGGAACACCGAUGGCGAAGGCAGGUCUCUGGGCCACUACUGACGCUGAGAAGCGAAAGCAUGGGGAGCGAACAGGAUUAGAUACCCUGGUAGUCCAUGCCGUAAACGUUGGGAACUAGGUGUGGGUCUCAUUCCACGAGAUCCGUGCCGCAGCUAACGCAUUAAGUUCCCCGCCUGGGGAGUACGGCCGCAAGGCUAAAACUCAAAGGAAUUGACGGGGGCCCGCACAAGCGGCGGAGCAUGCGGAUUAAUUCGAUGCAACGCGAAGAACCUUACCAAGGCUUGACAUAUACCGGAAACACCCAGAGAUGGGUGCCCCGCAAGGUCGGUAUACAGGUGGUGCAUGGUUGUCGUCAGCUCGUGUCGUGAGAUGUUGGGUUAAGUCCCGCAACGAGCGCAACCCUCGUUCUAUGUUGCCAGCGCGUAAUG
rnacentral:rRNA from 1 species